GGGGGCGUCACGGCUUCGACGGAGAUGCUUGCGGCCAAGAGGCAUGCCGGGGUGCACACACCCGUAAUCGCGUGCAAAAUGAUAAUUGCCAAUCAACAAAUGGCAUACGCAGCCUAAUUAAUUAGGCAGCCGCUCUCCACAGCUUCGCCCUUGGGCUGUGAGCGAGCGUCACACAGAGGGCUGCUCUUCUCUGCUACGUCUGGGCAGGGAGGUUAAGAUCUCAGGCUAGCGGCAACCGUUUCUUGUCCGUUCUGAGCGGGGGUCGCGAACGUCUCAGGGUAAUGCCUGGGGCAUGAACCGGAAUAAGCAUGUAGUCUCUUGACCAGUAACAUUUUCGGACGCGGGUUCAACUCCCGCCGCCUCCACCA
rnacentral:tmRNA from 1 species